GGAGACGGAAGGGGCUGGAGAAUUUCAUGAGAAGCCAGUCCGCGCCUUUGCAAGUUGUACACACUCCUCCAUACAAUGUGUUGACUUUGUACGGGAGGCUGAGGUGCUGCCAUCCAUUUAGAUGAUGCUGGUGCGGAAUGAAAGUCGAACAGCAGGAGUUGUGCAGCAGAGAAGGCUCUUUUGAUUUGUAGCUUCUUUUGUUGCUUUCCUUUUGAGUUUCCUUGGUUCUGUGGUAUGGACCUCUACAGACCUAGAAAAGUUCAGAAACUUGAAAGGGAAGAAGCCCUUCCUCCCCAGGGCUGGUUCCUCCACUUUCAUCCUGUGUCAGGUGUUCACGCCUCACAAAGAUGGUGUUAAAUGGAACUCUCUACAAACUCUGGGUGGCUGGGAGUCCUUCCGAGAUGUUAUGUUCUGGCAAUAAUGGAGUCUUGUUACUACAGGCUGUUAACAUGCACCCUUCCACUGUUGAAGAAAGACACCCAGGCGGCUACAGAGCACGUGGCUUCCAGGAGGCUCUCAGGUUGGAGGAGUUCUCAGCUUAUGGGAUCCUAACUCCCCAACCAGGGAUUGAAUUUGCACCCCCUGCAUUGAAAGAUGAAGUCCCAACCACUGGACUACCAGGGAAGUCCCGUAUGAAAUUACUGACUAUGAAGAAGCAAGAAGAUGGGAUUUUUAUGCUGUGCUCAGUUGCUCAAUUGUGUCUGACUCUUUGUGACCCAAUGGACUGUGGUCCUCCAGGCUCCUCUGUCGAUGAAAUUUUCCAGGCAAGAAAUACUAGAGUGGAUUGCCAUUUCCUUCUCCAGGGGAACUUCCUGGCCCAGGAAUUGAACCCGUGUCUCCUGUAUUGGCAGGUGGAUUCUUUACCACUGAACCACCUAGGAAUCAAGGUUUUCUUUCGCAGAGGACAUGUAUGGUAA
rnacentral:lncRNA from 1 species